UUUACAGUGCAGAGCUUCUUAGGGUCUAAGUGCCUUUGAGAUAAUUCACAGUUUGGGAUGUCUACAGCACAGCUUGUAGGGCUGCAGUGAAGUCAUUUGAGCUGUGCAGAAAUGGAUUUGACCAGAAGUGCUCAUUUUCGUAGAAUAGUGCAGACUUUAUGUUUUACUCUGUGGCAGGAGUCUGAUGUGAUCAGCUGUCCCACCACCACAUGGAAACAAGCCCAGAGGAGGCAUUCAUCAUUUCUGCAGCAAUUUAUUGCAGUACCCGAUUUUUAUUGUUGUCAGCAGUGAUUAUGAUGAUGAAAAAUUUGAGCACAACCUAGAUAAAUGAAUGCAUAGUUUUAUCUGUGAUAAAUGCAUAGUUUUAUCUAUACCAUUCAUUUUGCCUCCCUGCUGCCAGCCAGUCUGUCUCCCCUCAGGAGUCAACGUAGGUCAGAUGAGUGAGGAAUGAGAUGCUUUUGAUUCAUAACUCAGGGUAACAUUUGAGAAGCUUCAGGAAUACUUCUUACGGAUGAGCUGCAACUUCUCAUAAGAGUUUGGUUUCAGGGAAUGAAGCAGCGGUUAUGAAGAGAGAAAAUGGAAGUGUGAGGGAGAGAAAUAUUGCAUUCACAUCUUCCAUUUCCUCUUUAAACUGUAAUUUUCCCCUUCUUUCUCCCUUGCAGUCAAAUAAUAAAGUGGGAAUUUAGUGGCAGGUGACAGUACAGAGAUGAUACAGGCACAGCACAGGCUUUCUCAUCCUCUUCUGCUACACAUAUCUUCUUUGAGCUGCACUUAACUAUGUGAGCUAUCACAGAGUCUGAAAGCAGAGGAAAGAUCCAGAAUAGCUCAAGCAGUUUGUAGGCAUUGUAAAUAAAACAAACCCAGCUUUCAUUUAGAAAAAGAAGGCCAUUUUCAGAAACAUGUAAUGAACCUAUAAGUAUUUCUGGUGAGUAUAGGACUCAUUCUCUAAGCUGGUGUGAAGGUCUCCUAAUGAGGGGUGUCACAGCUGAGGCAGCACCAGAAAUCACAGCACAUAAAUAAAAUGCUUCUGUAACUAAUGGAGCAGGGAGCUUAGAGAAGUGCUGAGCAUGAGUGGCGUAAAGGCUUAGUACAGGCUUGGGACAAUGAGAGACUUGGAUGUGACGCAGUCCCUGGGACCAAUUUGGGGCUAUAAUCAGUGAUUCGUGCUGAGAAAAAAUUCUGUUGAAUAUAAUUCCAGCCUGACAGCAAAAUGAUGCUGAAGAUGCUUGUAGGCACGAGCGAGGAGCUUAACACUUGCAAGGGAUUUAGAGGUGCUGUCGCUGUCAACCCGGGUCUGAAUCCCCACACGCACUUUCACCCAUCUCCUCCUACACAAGUAUUUCCACAUCCCACGGGAUCAGGCAUUUUGCUGUUUCUGCAAUGUCUUUAUUUGUAAGUGUUGUCCCUGCAAGGGGCUUUCUCUUCCACACUGAAAUACAACCUGCCCAGGAGCCCAGCCAGAGAACCUGGACACCGCUCAAAAUUCCAGUGACUUAAUGUCCAGAAUCUGCAACAGCUUUUUUGGUGCCUUCCAAUUGUCAGGCAAGGCCAUAAAUGCCAGCCUCUAAAAAGUGUAAUUGAGAGUCUCUAGUGCAAAGACCUCAGAGAAAUGGCAAUUUUUUUUCAAUGUGCUUGAAAUAAAUGCACAAAACCUGCCGUGUGCUAUUCAGUCGUGACACUCACGUAAUGAAACACGGGCCAGGGAAAUUUAGAGCAGAAGCAAAGACCUCUAGGCAACAAUGUAAUAUAAUACAGCAAAGAUAUAACUCAAUUGGAAAUAGCCAGCUGGCACUAAUGGCUCAUUCGUUUAGACUCAUAUUUCUGGGCUGUCUGGCUUUUGGUGAGAUGGGAGCAAGGAAAAUCAGGCCUGGUUGCCAGUGGCUAUCAAUAAAAGCGCUGUUAAACAGAGCCAUUGCUCUGCAGCUCGGGAGGCACUGCAAACCACCUUGAUCAUUGGAAAUGGUUUUAGGAAACUGCCAAGGGUUCUGAGCUUUGUCUUCUCAGGUGCUUGACAGUUUCCUAAAACCUUUAAAACACUGCUGGCGAUGGUGGGAACAGACACAUCCCUGCACAUGGCCAAGGUGCAAAGCUCUGCUGGGCACACAGGAGAAGCCUCAGCUGUGCCUGGGCUAGACCAACAAAACCUGCUUUUAAAGCAAAACGUGAGACCUUGCUGUGCCUGACAACACCCCUUGAAAUUUAACCUCCCUGCAGCUGCUACUUCGAUGCUGGUGGUUGUAAUAACUUUAACAAAGUUAUUACAACAGUAACAAAGAAAGAUACAACAAACCGAGAAGAACCAAACCCAAACCCCACAACAAACAAACAAAAAACCCCAAACACCUACAAAACACCCAGGACUGUUUUUCCACAGGUUCAGUGCCAGUGUUCUUGUGGAAAAUAAGUGGAACAGUGCUGAAGCUGACAAGCCCAAGUCCAGAGCCAUGAGAUGUGCUGGUGGAAGCAGUGGGUACUUCCCAUCUGCCCAGAUAUCUGUGGCACCCUGAUUGCAGCUGUGCUGGGGAGCUGAAGGGACACAAACCUCCUGCCCGAGAUGGAUUAACUUGCUGAAUGUUGGGGAGAAUGACCCAGAGCUCUUUGCCCCUCUGCCAGGGAAGAUUUGCAGUGAGCAGAGGGGCAAUCUUCAAGAAUUCCUGGGGGUAUUGGAGUGUUUCAGCCUCGGAUGGAAUGAGUAGGUUUUCCUGUGAGCUGUCUACAAACUGUGAGUACUGGCCUCGGGGCCUUUUUGUACCCUGUGGAGAUAUGUAGGACUGGGAAAUGGCAUAUUUGGGGAGCUGGGGGAUGCUGCCAGAAGCAGGUGAAGCUCUGUGGAUGUUUUUAAGAGUUGUGCUGAUAUGAGCUCCUGGUAGGAAAGCACUGGUCUGAUCCUGCUUUGUUGUAAGAAAUUGGAUAAAAAGCAGUUUUGUGGCCCCUGGAGGGGCAGGGACAGGCUGUGGCUUUAAAUAUUACACAGCAAAGAAAAAUAUCUGAAAGUAAUCCACCAGUUGAGUGUGGUUUGGUUUGUUUUCCCUCUUGUGCUGUGAGGAAGAGGCUUUAGUUUUAAAAGUUGUCUUUUAAGCAUAGAAAAUGGAACAGCAGUUUGCCAGGCAAGCUUCCCCCUGUGCUAGCACACAGCUGCCCUUCACGUUCAACUGGAGCACGUGGAGCUUUGGCUAAAUGAUGUGUUUCAUUUUUGGGGGGAGCUCUGUGAAAAUUGCUUGUGGAUGGAUGUUUUUCUUGUCUUGGAAAUACUCUGAGAAUUCAGGAGGGCAGUCCUAAAUGCUUUGAGUUGGACAACGAUUUUGUGGUGGGUUUGCCUUAUUGUGAGCUUAGAGAAGUUGAAGGUGUAGUUGAACCUUUCUGGAACAUGCAUUGGGCUUUUUUCCCAGGGCUGCCAUUAAAUAGGGGCACAUCCU